GGCGAGGUAGCUCAGCUGGUUAGAGCGCAGGAUUCAUAAUCCUGAGGUCCCGAGUUCAAUCCUCGGCCUCGCUA
rnacentral:tRNA from 2 species